rnacentral:rRNA from 1 species
CCUACGGGAGGCAGCAGUGAGGAAUAUUGGUCAAUGGGCGGGAGCCUGAACCAGCCAAGUCGCGUGAGGGAAGACGGUCCUAUGGAUUGUAAACCUCUUUAGGCGGGGAGCAAUGCCGGGCACGCGUGCCCGGAGGGAGAGUACCCGCAGAAUAAGCAUCGGCUAACUCCGUGCCAGCAGCCGCGGUAAUACGGAGGAUGCGAGCGUUAUCCGGAUGUAUUGGGUGUAAAGGGUGCGUAGGCGGAUUUUUAAGUCAGCGGUAAAAUGUCCGGGCUCAACCCGGGCCGGCCGUUGAAACUGGGGAUCUUGAGUGGGCGAGAAGUAUGCGGAAUGCGGGGUGUAGCGGUGAAAUGCAUAGAUAUCACGCAGAACUCCGAUUGCGAAGGCAGCAUACCGGCGCCCGACUGACGCUGAGGCACGAAAGCGUGGGGAUCGAACAGGAUUAGAUACCCUGGUAGUC